rnacentral:rRNA from 1 species
UACGUAGGUCCCGAGCGUUGUCCGGAUUUAUUGGGCGUAAAGCGAGCGCAGGCGGUUCUUUAAGUCUGAAGUUAAAGGCAGUGGCUCAACCAUUGUACGCUUUGGAAACUGGAGAACUUGAGUGCAGAAGGGGAGAGUGGAAUUCCAUGUGUAGCGGUGAAAUGCGUAGAUAUAUGGAGGAACACCGGUGGCGAAAGCGGCUCUCUGGUCUGUAACUGACGCUGAGGCUCGAAAGCGUGGGGAGCAAACAGG